rnacentral:rRNA from 1 species
GACGAACGCUGGCGGCGUGCUUAACACAUGCAAGUCGAACGGAAAGGCCCUGCUUUUGUGGGGUGCUCGAGUGGCGAACGGGUGAGUAACACGUGAGUAACCUGCCCUUGACUUUGGGAUAACUUCAGGAAACUGGGGCUAAUACCGGAUAGGAGCUCCUGCUGCAUGGUGGGGGUUGGAAAGUUUCGGCGGUUGGGGAUGGACUCGCGGCUUAUCAGCUUGUUGGUGGGGUAGUGGCUUACCAAGGCUUUGACGGGUAGCCGGCCUGAGAGGGUGACCGGCCACAUUGGGACUGAGAUACGGCCCAGACUCCUACGGGAGGCAGCAGUGGGGAAUAUUGCACAAUGGGCGGAAGCCUGAUGCAGCAACGCCGCGUGCGGGAUGACGGCCUUCGGGUUGUAAACCGCUUUCGCCUGUGACGAAGCGUGAGUGACGGUAAUGGGUAAAGAAGCACCGGCUAACUACGUGCCAGCAGCCGCGGUGAUACGUAGGGUGCGAGCGUUGUCCGGAUUUAUUGGGCGUAAAGGGCUCGUAGGUGGUUGAUCGCGUCGGAAGUGUAAUCUUGGGGCUUAACCCUGAGCGUGCUUUCGAUACGGGUUGACUUGAGGAAGGUAGGGGAGAAUGGAAUUCCUGGUGGAGCGGUGGAAUGCGCAGAUAUCAGGAGGAACACCAGUGGCGAAGGCGGUUCUCUGGGCCUUUCCUGACGCUGAGGAGCGAAGGCGUGGGGAGCGAACAGGCUUAGAUACCCUGGUAGUCCACGCUGUAAACGGUGGGUACUAGGUGUGGGGUCCAUUCCACGGGUUCCGUGCCGUAGCUAACGCUUUAAGUACCCCGCCUGGGGAGUACGGCCGCAAGGCUAAAACUCAAAGGAAUUGACGGGGCCCCGCACAAGCGGCGGAGCAUGCGGAUUAAUUCGAUGCAACGCGUAGAACCUUACCUGGGUUUGACAUGGAUCGGGAGUGCUCAGAGAUGGGUGUGCCUCUUUUGGGGUCGGUUCACAGGUGGUGCAUGGCUGUCGUCAGCUCGUGUCGUGGGAUGUUGGGUUAAGUCCCGCAACGAGCGCAACCCUUGUUCACUGUUGCCAGCACGUUAUGGUGGGGACUCAGUGGAGACCGCCGGGGUCAACUCGGAGGAAGGUGGGGAUGACGUCAAGUCAUCAUGCCCCUUAUGUCCAGGGUUUCACGCAUGCUACAAUGGCUGGUACAGAGAGUGGCGAGCCUGUGAGGGUGAGCGAAUCUCGGAAAGCCGGUCUCAGUUCGGAUUGGGGUCUGCAACUCGACCUCAUGAAGUCGGAGUCGCUAGUAAUCGCAGAUCAGCAACGCUGCGGAAAAUGCGUUCCCGGG